rnacentral:rRNA from 1 species
AGUGAACGCUGGCGGUAGGCCUAACACAUGCAAGUCGAACGGCAGCACAGUAAGAGCUUGCUCUUACGGGUGGCGAGUGGCGGACGGGUGAGGAAUACAUCGGAAUCUACUUUUUCGUGGGGGAUAACGUAGGGAAACUUACGCUAAUACCGCAUACGACCUACGGGUGAAAGCAGGGGAUCUUCGGACCUUGCGCGAUUGAAUGAGCCGAUGUCGGAUUAGAUAGUUGGCGGGGUAAAGGCCCACAAAGGCGAAGAGCCGUAGCUGGUCUGACAGGGUGAAGGGGCAGACGGGGAAUGAGGAACGGAACAGAACACUACGGGAGGCAGCAGUAGGGAGUGUUCGGCAAGGGACGGAAGGUGGAACGAGCAAAGACGGGGGAGUGAAGAAGGGUGUCGGAUCGUAAAGCUCUGUUGUAAGAGAAGAAAGAGUGUGAGAGUGGAAAGUGCACACUGUGACGGUAGCUUAACAGAAAGGGACGGCUAACUACGUG